rnacentral:rRNA from 1 species
UACGUAGGGUGCGAGCGUUGUCCGGAAUUAUUGGGCGUAAAGAGCUCGUAGGCGGUUUGUCGCGUCUAUCGUGAAAACUAGCAGCUUAACUGUUGGCGUGCGGUGGAUACGGGCAGACUUGAGUUCGGUAGGGGAGACUGGAAUUCCUGGUGUAGCGGUGAAAUGCGCAGAUAUCAGGAGGAACACCGGUGGCGAAGGCGGGUCUCUGGGCCGAUAUUGACGCUGAGGAGCGAAAGCGUGGGGAGCAAACAGG